CCAAGGUUCAGUCCUGGGGAUGGGGGCCCCUGCGGUGGGCAGAAUAACGGCCACUGCAAAGAUGCCAAAUCUUAUCCCCAGAGCUUCCGCAGAGAUCCUGCAGAUGUGAUUCGAGUCUUCCAGCAACACCACCUCACUCUGCUUUGCACAAUCACUCCACCUCCCCACAUGUUGCGGAGAUUCUCCUGGGUCAGUCGGGGGGUCCAGUGUCAUCCUAGGGUCCUUAUGAGAGGGAGGAAGGGAGGCGGAGGAGGAGAUGCAAGGAUGAAGCGAAGGUUGGAGUGAUGUGGUCU
rnacentral:lncRNA from 10 species